GACAGAGGGUGCAAACGUUGUUCGGAAUUACUGGGCGUAAAGCGUGUGUAGGCGGCCACGUAAGUCUGAUGUGAAAGCCCACGGCUCAACCGUGGAGGGUCAUUGGAAACUGGGGGACUUGAGUACAGAAGAGAAGAGUGGAAUUCCACGUGUAGCGGUGAAAUGCGUAGAGAUGUGGAGGAACACCAGUGGCGAAGGCGACUCUUUGGUCUGUAACUGACGCUGAGGCGCGAAAGCGUGGGGAGCAAACAGG
rnacentral:rRNA from 1 species